CCUACGGGAGGCAGCAGUGGGGAAUAUUGCACAAUGGGGGAAACCCUGAUGCAGCGACGCCGCGUGGGUGAAGAAGUAUUUCGGUAUGUAAAGCUCUAUUAGCAGGGAAGAAAAUGACGGUACCUGACUAAGAAGCCCCGGCUAACUACGUGCCAGCAGCCGCGGUAAUACGUAGGGGGCAAGCGUUAUUCGGAUUUACUGGGUGUAAAGGGAGCGUAGACGGCAAAACAAGUCAGAAGUGAAAGCCCAGGGCUCAACCAUGGGACUGCUUUUGAAACUGGAGUGCUAGAGUGUAGGAGAGGUAAGCGGAAUUCCUGGUGUAGCGGUGAAAUGCGUAGAGAUUAGGAGGAACACCAGUGGCGAAGGCGGCCUACUGGACUGUAACUGACGUUGAGGCGCGAAAGCGUGGGGAGCAAACAGGAUUAGAUACCCCGGUAGUC
rnacentral:rRNA from 1 species